AAUUGCCCCAGUGUGAUAUUCACAAUUAGCAUUUGGGUUGAAUCGUUGUGGGUAUGGAGGUUCCACCAUCUUUGAGGGGAUAGGAGUCAGCAAUGAUCUUUGAAGAAGUUGUGGCAAUAACUCGGAAUAUGACAUCGGGAUCGGAUCAUACAAACUCUUCCUUUUUCGCUUUCGUGGCCGCCCUUUUUUACCAUUUGUAAAAGCAUAACAUGAUGCUUGUAGAAAAUAAGGCAUUUGAGGUUGACUGAGGGUCUCCGUGAAUGCGAAUUCCUCUUCCAUAUCUUCACUUGCAAGAUCGCUUUGGAUUAUCCUGUUGGCUGAGUUUUUCUCAAUUUUGUCAUUCUUGGAGUGAUUCUCAAUUCUCUCGCCUAUAGUUAUCAAAUGACGGAAAUC
rnacentral:lncRNA from 1 species